rnacentral:rRNA from 1 species
UACGUAGGGUGCGAGCGUUGUCCGGAAUUAUUGGGCGUAAAGAGCUCGUAGGCGGCCUGUCGCGUCGGAUGUGAAAGCCCGGGGCUUAACCCCGGGUCUGCAUUCGAUACGGGCAGGCUAGAGUGUGGUAGGGGAGAUCGGAAUUCCUGGUGUAGCGGUGAAAUGCGCAGAUAUCGGGAGGAACACCGGUGGCGAAGGCGGUUCUCUGGGCCUUACCUGACGCUGAGGAGCGAAAGCGUGGGGAGCGAACAGG